ACUGCACCUGAAUUGCAGUUUUCAGUCUGAGGUUUUACAGCACAAUGGAAGAUUCUUGCCUCUUCUGCCUCAGGAAUGAAUGGCACAGGCUCAGAGCUGAUGGCUUCCAACUGGGAACUUGAAUAACUCUAUGAUAAGAGAGAGUCAACAGAGACAUUGUGACCAGUCUGCACGUGUGUCAUGAGGUGUGUGUUUGCGUACAUGUGCAGCUUCUCUGGCACCGAGUGCUGGUAUAGAUGGGCCAGGACUAAACAAUGAUACAAACCAGAUUCCACGAUGAAGAAUGUGGGCACCGUGGGUUGGCAGAGGAUGACUUCAUUGCGCACGGCAGCUACGCAGCAGAAACUCUCGCUUAUCUGGUAAACGGGCUUAAAUAACGGACUUAAAUCACUUCUUUGUCGAAGUGACCCUGCUCCCUCCUAGUCUGUAUUGUGAAUCCUGUGGAAACUAAUUGUAUAAAGGCAGGAGACAGGUAAUGUUCUGUGCGGUGUUUGUCAAAGAGGGCACACGAGGUGCCCAGAGGGCAGGGCUGGCUGGGGAGGCAGCACAGCGUUGUCUGCAUGGUCGCUGCUUUUUGGGCUGACGAGGGACAGGAACUGAGUGACAGAGUUCAUUUGUGGAGAGAAAAGGGCUUGAGCAAGAUAAUUAGGGAA
rnacentral:lncRNA from 1 species